ensembl:miRNA
CAGUCUUCUUUGGUAUUUAAAAGGUGGAUAUUCCUCCUAUGUUUACACGAUUCAUGGUUAAUCAUAGAGGAAAAUCCAUAUUUUCAGUAUCAAAUGCUG